GAACGCUGGCGGCGUGCUUAACACAUGCAAGUCGAACGAUGAACCACUUCGGUGGGGAUUAGUGGCGAACGGGUGAGUAACACGUGGGCAAUCUGCCCUGCACUCUGGGACAAGCCCUGGAAACGGGGUCUAAUACCGGAUACGAGUUUCACAGGCAUCUGUGAUUCUGGAAAGCUCCGGCGGUGCAGGAUGAGCCCGCGGCCUAUCAGCUUGUUGGUGAGGUAACGGCUCACCAAGGCGACGACGGGUAGCCGGCCUGAGAGGGCGACCGGCCACACUGGGACUGAGACACGGCCCAGACUCCUACGGGAGGCAGCAGUGGGGAAUAUUGCACAAUGGGCGAAAGCCUGAUGCAGCGACGCCGCGUGAGGGAUGACGGCCUUCGGGUUGUAAACCUCUUUCAGCAGGGAAGAAGCGAGAGUGACGGUACCUGCAGAAGAAGCGCCGGCUAACUACGUGCCAGCAGCCGCGGUAAUACGUAGGGCGCAAGCGUUGUCCGGAAUUAUUGGGCGUAAAGAGCUCGUAGGCGG
rnacentral:rRNA from 1 species